UACGAAGGGUGCAAGCGUUACUCGGAAUUACUGGGCGUAAAGCGUGCGUAGGUGGUUCGUUAAGUCUGAUGUGAAAGCCCUGGGCUCAACCUGGGAAUGGCAUUGGAUACUGGCGACCUAGAGUGCGGUAGAGGGGUGUGGAAUUCCCGGUGUAGCAGUGAAAUGCGUAGAUAUCGGGAGGAACAUCUGUGGCGAAGGCGACACCCUGGACCAGCACUGACACUGAGGCACGAAAAGCGUGGGGAGCGAACAGG
rnacentral:rRNA from 1 species